rnacentral:rRNA from 1 species
GUGGGGAAUAUUGGACAAUGGGGGGAACCCUGAUCCAGCCAUGCCGCGUGUGUGAAGAAGGCCUUUUGGUUGUAAAGCACUUUAAGCGAGGAGGAGGCUACCGAGAUUAAUACUCUUGGAUAGUGGACGUUACUCGCAGAAUAAGCACCGGCUAACUCUGUGCCAGCAGCCGCGGUAAUACAGAGGGUGCAAGCGUUAAUCGGAUUUACUGGGCGUAAAGCGCGCGUAGGUGGCCAAUUAAGUCAAAUGUGAAAUCGCCGAGCUUAACUUGGGAAUUGCAUUCGAUACUGGUUGGCUAGAGUAUGGGAGAGGAUGGUAGAAUUCCAGGUGUAGCGGUGAAAUGCGUAGAGAUCUGGAGGAAUACCGAUGGCGAAGGCAGCCAUCUGGCCUAAUACUGACACUGAGGUGCGAAAGCAUGGGGAGCAAACAGGAUUAGAUACCCUGGUAGUCC